rnacentral:misc_RNA from 1 species
CAUUAUAGAAUGAACCCCCCCGCCCAAGGCUAACGCUGAAGGUGGGGUCCUCUUUUUAAACCCGUGCAAUUAGUGAAGUCUGAGUAUUAUUUACGAAAUAGUCAAAACUUUCAACAACGGAUCUCUUGGUUCUGGCAUCGAUGAAGAACGCAGCGAAAUGCGAUAAGUAAUGUGAAUUGCAGAAUUCAGUGAAUCAUCGAAUCUUUGAACGCACAUUGCGCCCUCUGGUAUUCCGGGGGGCAUGCCUGUUCGAGCGUCAUUACACCCCUCAAGCCUAGCUUGAUAUUGGGCUUGGCUAUUUAAACAGCCAGCCUUAAAAUGAGUGGCAGUACUAACUCAGCCCUAAGCGCAGUAAAUAUUUUACGCUUUUGGGCCUGGUUUAGUUUGCUUGCCAGAAACUACCAAAUUCAAAGGUUGACCUCGGAUCAGGUAGGGAUACCCGCUGAACUUAAGCAUAU